CAAAAAGUCUGCUGCUAUUUCUACAGUCAGGGCCUCCCCACAGCCCGCCCUUCCAUAGACGGAGCUUUUUUUUCACUCACUACUAGCUGGAUUUUAACCCUCUGCUUCCAACAAGCUGCACAGCAGCUCUGCAGAACCUGGCAACAAGUUGCUCAUUAGUUGCCUUUUCUCACUUUUGAUGUUGAUUUUUGCAUCGCUUCUGGAUUUUAGUCCUUUUUCUUUUGUACUUCUGCAUUUUGGUUUUGUAAAAAUGUGCCGCGGUGUUUGUGUUUUGUUUUCCGCGCCGUUGGGUUUCUCGUAGUAUUUAUUUUGGUUCUCUGAUUUUGGAAUUCGAAAUUUGUGAAGGUGGUGUUUCGCCACGUGAUGGGCCUCGUUCCACCUGGAGUGCCCGGGCGCCAUUUCUGAUGGGUAACCUGCUUGUGGUGGGCUUGUGGUCUGGAUGACGGAAGUAGUGCAUGCACUGACCAGUAUCCGAGCCUGGUUCACGUCUGUGUCUUAAAGAAAUAUCCUUCAUCAGUAACAGCGACUGGGUGUGAAGUAUCGUGCCUCCUUCGUCUUACUCUGUGUGUCUCCUUAUUUCCUUCCCAUAUCCUCUCUCUGUCUCUGAGUCACUCACUCACCCUUGUACUCUCACAUUUACACCGACUCGCUCUCCUAACGGGCAAAGAGUGGUGUGCUGAGCCGAGUUCUUUCUGGGACAGGUGCCAACUGCAAACAAAAGGCAUUUUAAAGAGAGAGGAAAGGUAGCAUGCACAAAAUCCGAAAUUGUUGCGAUGAAGUGUCAAAGAAUAGCCGCGACUGUUGUGUCUCGACAUGAGUGCUUUGUGCUGUUAUUCCACGUUUAUGUCUUAAAUCCAAUGUAGUGGCCAGGGCUGUUUUUAAAGCAUGGGUUUGAAUACUUUGCCACACUUAUUCCUGUGAAGGCAUUUCAUUUGGGAAGAGGGAGGGAGUAAUGUGGGAGAGUAGCAUAUAGAAUGCUGAAUUAUUCAUGUGCCCAGCAGAGGCUGUGACUGGACUAGUUGUGCUAUUUGCAUGCAUCAGACAUGCUGUUUGUCUGUUGGCUAACAUUCCUCAUUCAAAGACUUGUUAACUAGCAGACGGGCUAAGCUGGAGCCUUGCAGACAGCCUCAUGGCCUCCUAUUGUUCCAGGCCUCACCAGGCCUGGACCCAGCUGGUGGCAGACGGGAAAGCACAGACCUGAUCUUGGGGUCUGGGACUGUGGCUGGAAGGGGGAGUGAGCCUGGAGCUGAGACUGAGGCUGGGACUCGGGGCUGAAGCUGAAGGGGGCAUGAGGCAAGAGGCAUGGCUGUGAACGGGACGGUCAGUGGAUCUUGUAAGAAGCAUCAAACGGGAUCUUGCAGCAGGGAGAGCUGCAGAGUUUUUGCCAUCUUUGUUCUGAAAUAUUGGCAGUAAAAUGGGCUUUGACUUAAGCCACAGGCACAGACAUGUUGGUCAACAAGUGGAAUCAUGGACAGACAGACUGGCGAUGGCAUCAGCGUUGUGAGUGGAGGCUACCUGACAUGCUGCUGAAACCAUGAUGGAGGAAGGAGGUGAUAGGCCACUGUGCCUCCCCCUCCUUUGCUGUGUGUUGCUGAGCAGGUGAGAAACAUUAACAGAGGCAGCAGCAGCAGCAGCAGCAGCAGCUGCGGCCCUCUGCUCCACACAUGUGGGCCAGGAUAUGAGCUCGCUCAAGCUCGCCCACUCUCAACAUUGGUCACAAAUGUUAACACUCUUUUCUCUGAAACACAGGAGAAAAAAAAAAUCCUGAGAAAGAAAGUGGACACGUGUUAUCUGAAAUAAAAGCCGUCUUCUUUUAUGAUUGUAUGUCAUUGCGUGUAUGAUGCUCAGUUCCAAAAGGCAUCUGGCUGUUGACUCUCUGCUUGUCGCGUGUUUGCAUUGUAAAUGUUGGCGAAGUGUUUCAAGCCAACAUCAAACAAGAGAGAGAUUAUUACAUAGAAUCAUUACUUGUUAUGUGAGAUCCCAACCUUCAGGCUGUGUAACAAUGCUGUCACAUGGUAAAAGGCUCAUUUUACCACCAUCUUUCAGCAUUGAUAAUACACCGACUUGAUGCAGACCAGUAUUAAAUGUUCAAAAAAAACUAUUUUCAGUCAAAUCCUCAAUUUUAAAGGUCACAUUGCCCUUUUGAGUUACAUUCUGCGUGUAUUUGAAUAUGCAAAUACCUUGGCUAUGAAAUUUGCUUGGUACAUAUGCACCUUGCUGAAUAAUUUGAAUUCCUAUUCAGCUCAAAGCCAUGAACCGGAUGACCCAGUCAUCACGUUGUCUUCUGAACUCAAAGAUUGCUGUCACACCAGUGAGGUGUCCCAGAGGAGAGUGGCAUGUGUAUUUGUGUUUCUGUGAAUCUUAACUACUGUGUCAUACUCAGUGAGGUGUGUCAAAGCACAUUGCCGGCAUGAAGACAGAGACCCAAAAGGAGUUUGUUUUUAAACACUGUCCUUUGGGGUGAGGUAGUAGGUUGUAUAGUUUUAGGGUCAUACCCUUCCUGUCAGAUAACUAUACAACUUACUGUCUUUCCUGAAGUGGCUGUAAUGUCGUCAGAUGCCUUUUUUGGAGCUUUUGGAUCGGGAAUCAUCCCUGGAAUGACCCACACUGACUGCUUCAGACCUAAUAAAAAAUGAUGACGGUAGGUUGGUCAGUAUUGUUGUAAAUAAUGUUAAUUUCUAUCCCAUGAUUUUCAUAUUUUGUCCUAAGACGAGAUGGUUAUUGAAUAAUGAUUCAGGUAUAGUCUUUUGCUGGUUCUGUUUGUUUCCGUGCAACAGUCAACUCAUAUCUUAUUAAAUCAUUUUGUCUGUUUUACCUAAUUGUCACUCUUUAUGGUGUUAUACCUUAUUUAUUUUAUUUCUUGCAGUAUUUUUAUUGUCUAAAUGUAUAUAGGUGUAUUUAUCAUGCAUUUCUUUUAUUUUUUUUUUACCAUAAUAAUAGUAACUCUUUACGCUAUUCUAUUACGACGUAGAAUUAUACAUCCCGACAAAGCUUUAUAGCCAGAAGGAGCUCUCUGAUGUUCGUACGGGGUGAGGUAGUAGGUUGUGUGGUUUCAGGGUAGUGAUUUUGCCCAAUCAGGAGAUAACUAUACAACCUACUGCCUUCCCUGAAGGGCAGCAAUACUUCACCAGACAGACAACAGGGAGUGUCAAUGUGGCAACAUGUACAACAAGUAUAUAUGUUAAAAAACAAACAAAGAUUAACAGGACUUACCUGCUUUACGUCAAUAAAGUAAAGCAGGUCUGAUGUCCAAGUCAUUUCUUACCUGGAGUGUAAAACUUAACAGUCAGUCAUAGCCCAGCAGACAGAACCAGCAGAUAAGGUUUGUUCUCGGUGGAAUUUCAGGUUUGAUAUACAUUUCUGCUUUGAGCAAAAAUAAAAAAAUAAAUUGGUAAUACA